GGAGAGGUACCAAAGUGGCCGAAUGGUUUUUCCUCGAAGGAAAAUGUAUUUUGCUUUAAGCAGGAUACCGCAGGUUCGAAUCCUGCCCUCUCCGCCA
rnacentral:tRNA from 2 species